rnacentral:lncRNA from 1 species
CCUCUUAUACGUCCUUCUCCUUCUAAUUUCUUUUUCUAUAAUAUUUUAAUUGGCAUAAGAUAUUAGUUGUUUCUUUGUAUUCCAACUUGCUGGAUUUAUUAUUUAAUUUUGCUGAUUCUUGUAUCCUCUAAAUAAAUUGAGAUUGACUUGUUUAAUCCUGGGGAAACAUUUCACAUUGCUAACAUAGUUUCUUAGAACAGUGUCUCUCAUGACUCAAGCCAAUUCGUGUAUCUGCUUACAAAUAAUAAUAUUGGAGUAUUAUCAUCGUUAUUUUUCAAUGUCAUUUCCCUACUUAAAUAUCAAAGAAGAAAAGGUAAGAAGAGGUGCUUAUGAUUUAUCCGAACAGCUUAACGACCAUACAGUGCAGAUAUUAUAUUUUGUCAUUGCAAAGCAAGUUAUUGUAGCUAUCUAGGUGUUUUACUUACAUAAUUACAUAAUCUUCGACAGAAUUGAAAUUCAAUUUAUGCUUUUGAUUGUAGCUACCCAUGUUUUUCUGGCAAAUAAAGCCUUAAACCAUUGUGAUCUGUCGUGGUAGUAUUCAAUGUUCAGACUGUGGAGUACAAGAAUAUUAGUUCUUCCUAUUUUUCUUGUUCUUGAUCUUUCCCUCUGAUUUCCCCAGAUUUUGUUUCAUUCUAUAUAACAUGUAUUGUGUGCUGUAUGAUGCAAGAACUUGAGCACUUUCUCCGGUCCUGAUCAUUUACAUCAGAUGAUGGUUUAGGCACAACUAUUGCAGAGUGUUCCAUUGCUUGAGUUUCUGUUUGUAAUUACUACUUAAACUGCACAAUCACUUUACUAACAUAACUUUAUAACAGUCCUUUUCGGUACUGAUGUAUUCAAGACAUUGGCGUGCUAUACUUAGCGGUAUCAAAUGGGCAGGUUGGAUUGUUUUCGGACGGGUCAAAAUGGAUUGAGUCGGCAAAUAGACGGGUCAAUGGCACGCCCAAAAGUUACUUGGGCUGAGUCAAGAUGAGCUAAAAUUUGGGUCAUAGACCAACCCGCCCAACUCUUACCAAACUUUAACUAAUACUAUGUGUUAUUUUCUUAUGAAUUGUAUAUUAUUAAAUAAUUUUUUUUCCUUUUGUUAUGGUCAUAUAUAUAUAUAUAACAUAUCAAACAAAAAAGAACUAUUUUAAAGAUAUUUUGGCAAAGUUACCGAAGGUUCAAUUUGAUCUAAAAAACAACCCAACUUUAAAUGAAUUGAGAUGGGCUGAGUUCAAUAAAUGAGUGGAUUAAUAACUAGACCAACUUUUGGUGGGUCAUUUGACAGCCAUAGCCUAUCCGUUUAGUGCAGAUGCAUCCUUUUUGGAGGCACUUCUCUCAAAUCACUCGGGGAACUUAAACUAAAAAUAACCAAUGAAUGUAUAAUAUACGCAUAAUUUAUGUGUUACAUGUAUAUAAUUAUGUAUAAUCUAUGUAUAUAGUUAGGGGCGGCCCUUUCAUAAAGCAAGUAAAUCAAUCGCUUUAGGCCACAUAUUUGUAGGGGUUCCACUUUUUGUUACACCUAAUAGACUAUGUAUAAGUUUAAAAAAGAGUUCGGUAAAGUGAAAAAGUUUGAUUUCUUUCUUUAACAAAUAUAGAAAAGAAGGAUUUGCGACUACUAUGAUUUCUACCAAGGAAAUUGCACUUGAAAUGAAUAUCAAACCCGAAUUUCGUAAGAAACGUGUGAUAUAUAUGAAACAACAAUUUGAUGCGAAUGUUGAUAAUAAAAAUCUCAAAAUCUUUCGAAGAGUCCUUUAGAGUUGAUUACUUUUAUACAUAUUAGACAAAGCUAUUUUUUCACUUCAAAAUGGAUUUGAAUAAUUCGAAGCAUAUGAAAAUAUUUUUGGUUUUUUAUUUGACAGUAAAAAUUAAGAUCACUAGAUGUUGGAAAUUUAAAAAAAUAUUACCUUAAUCUUGAAUGUUCCUUAAAGCAUAAUAAUCAAUUCGAUAUUAAUGGUUUAGAUUUAUUUUCUGAAUUAAAAAUAUUAAGAAAAAUAGUACAAUUAGAAGAUAAUAGUUUAAUUGAUACACUUAAUCAAAUAAAAAGAUUUAAUUCUUUUCCAAAUGCCUAAAUUGUUUAUGAAAUAAUGUUCAUAACUCUUGUUACCGUUGCUUCAGCGGAAAGAAAAUUUCAAAAUUAAAAUUGAUAAAAUCUUACCUAAGAAAAAUAAUGUCACAAGAAAAGUUAAAUGGAUUAGCUAUAUUGUCAAUUGAGAAAUACUUAUUACGAGUUACUGAUUAUAAGACAAUUAUUAAUAACUUUGUAUCGAAGAAAAGCUAAAGAAAAAUAAACUUCAUAUAAAUAACAAAAAAAUUAAAAAGUUAAGACCUCUCAUAAAGUUUGACUUUAGGCCACAAAAUUCGUCAGACCGUCUUUAUAUAUAGCUAGAAAAGUAAACAAUUAAUACAGCCGAUUAUUUGUGUAAAAGUUCCAUUAUAUUUGUGGUAGGGAUCGAGUUGUUGUGGCAAAGGAUGAGCUGCACUGAAUACUGUUGAAUGAGGUUGGUCAUAUUCACACUUUCAAUGUUAGGUGGUCGUUUGUCUUUAGUUAAAUUUCCUGCAGUCAUUUUAUAGAUCUAGUUUUUUUUUGUGUCUCAUAUAAUUUAUACUAGUUGUAUGCGGUUCCUUUUUGUCUCACGAAUUUGUGGAUUUCAAUCUUAUACUUCUGGGUACAUAGAAAUCUGAGUCCACAAAACUGUAAGACAAAAAAGUUGUCUCAUACAACUAGUGUCAGUUGUAUUGAGACACAAAAUAAAAUUUUACUAAUGAUCGAUGAUUGCUCAUUGCAGAUACAGUUUUAUACAUAUGUUGUUAGUCAUUUAUGUUGUCUGAUGCAAUACAAGUAUUUAACUAGUGGAAUAGGAAAAGGGCUUCAAUAGGAUUGAGUUCCCAAUAAUGCACAGUAAAGGGUAUUGUAGCAAAAACAGACCUUUUUAUCAUUGCGAUUAGAGCCAUAGCACCACAUUAACUUAUUUUCGUAUGAAUGUAAAAAUUAUAAAACUGUCAAGAGUCGGUGGUAUUAUUUUAAUCUCCAACACUGUAUAGCUCCAGCAAUAUUGCUAGUAACGCAAAGCAACAACAACUAGGCCUCAAAUUAAAUCCAAUCAAAUUGAGGUCGGCUAUAUAUUAUGUGAAUCAUCUUUGCUCAUGUUGUUCCUCUUGAGCCUCUCAAGGGGUUCAAUUCUAUUUUGGGCAAUAUGUUAGUGAGGACUUAUAGCCUGUUUGGCCAAGCUUUUUUUUUAGGCCAAAGUGCUUUUUUUGGCCAAAAGCAUUUUUGGUCAAAAAUUGAGGUGUUUGGCCAAGUUUUUGGAAGGAAAAAAAGUACUUUUGAGGAGAAUGCAGAAAAAAGUAGCUUCUCUGCAAAAAUAUUUUUCUGAUUAGCACUUUUGAGAAAAAUACACUUAAAAGUAGUUUUUAAAAGCUUGGUCAAACACUAAUUACUGCUCAAAAGUGUUUUUCUAAUUAACUAGCCAAACACAAACUAUUUCCCACCAAAAGCACUUUUUUUAAAAAUACUUUUGAAAAAAACAUUUCUCAAAUAAGCUGAUUUUACAAACUUGGUCAAAUGGGCUAUUAUACUACCUAGUCAAGUAUAUCCAAUCUUGGCUUGAUUUUUUUGGCCUUUUGAGAUUGUUCUCAGCUGCUCUACUUCCCUAAGUGGCGGCAGCCUUCGUCUGCAGUUCCAAACUGCAAUUUUACAGGGAGAAUCCCGAAAGUACGGUAGGAAAAAAGGCGUAGCCAGAAUUUUAAACUUAUGAGUCCAUAAUUUUAAUUCUAUUAAGUUACUAGGGUCUACAUUAAUAAACUGUACAUAUUCAAUAAAUUUUUUCAGACAAAUAUAAAAUUUGAACUAAAAUUACUAGGUUCAGCCGAAUCCACGGCGGACACUCUGGCUCCGUCCCUGGCCAGGAGAUAAGGUGAUCCUAAAAAUCAAUCAAUAUGGCCAUCUUCUCUCUAUGGUGAGUCUCUAAAUUACGUAGCUUAUUUUUACUUGGAAAUAAAUUGAGUUAUAAUGAUAGGUUUCACGAGUGACUUCAAGAAGAAUAAAUCUAACUCCUUGGACGUGUCGAACAGUUGACAAAGUGUUGCACAAAGCGAGAAAUUGCAAGUACAAGUAAAUGGAUCGAUAAAUAUGCAUAGAUAGAUUUACUGGCUCCAGUGUUCUGUUUUAUUGCUUUUCAAUUUUGCAAUUUCCUCUUCGCUCAUUUGUGGUCUCCUUAUUAGAAGGAUGACUUCUACGUCUCCAUACUACUUCCUCCGGUCCAUAAUAAGUGAUCAAUUUGCUUUUGACACACAUAUUAAGGAAAUUCAAAAUUCUAGACAAAAGUAGUUAGUAUGACUAAACUGUCCUUAAUAAAAUAUUGUAGCAUAAUUAAUAUGAGGAGUAAAAGAUUUUUUAAGGAUACGUACAUAAAGGUGAUUUUGAAAAAACAAAUUGAUUUUUUUGUUUAUAUAAAUGGACACUUAUUUUGGACCAAAAUAAAAAAGCAAAUUGGUCACUUAUAAAUGGACACUUAAUUAAUUACGCAUGUUCGAUUGACAUUAAAGGGUUAAUCAGCAAAAAGCUCGAUUAAUUAGAGACUCCUUGUAGCUUGUGGUUUAUAGUUCCAUUCUUAAUUAAUAGUCCAUGUGCUUUCUUUCACUGAAUAUUCCAACUCUUAUACAUGUAAAGCGUGUAUUAGCUUAGCCACAAAAUAUAUAAGAGGCCAAGAUUAAAGCCUUCAUAUUGCAAAAUGUUACAAUAAAUUUGAUUAAAGUCAAAUGCAGUGUCAUCAACCUGCACCCUUAUCAAUUAAACAUCUCAUUUUCUAUGACCUUACUUUAUUUAUGGUUUUUAACUUUAUUUCGUUCUUCGCUUUAUAUCUAAGGACACCCCAUUAAUACUUAACAGCUACAAAGCACUAAAAUAGCGUUAAAAUUUGCAUGUAUUGACGUUAAGAUGCAAUCUUAGUUGGAAACACUCCAUGUGGCAACACGUUAUAUUAUCCACUCCAUGUGACCUUCACACGCUUUUUGCCGAAAUUUUUUAUUUUGUGCCUCCCACAACUGAUACUAAUUGUGUAAGGCCUCUUCUUUGUCUCACAAUUGUGUGGGUCCCAGAAUUUUGUGAACCCAGAUGUAGGGGUGGGCAUCGGUUGGUUCGGUUCGGUUAUGAAUAUUAUCGGUUUUGCAUAUCGGUUAAUUAUCGGUUUACAAAUAUCAUAACCUGAUAACCAAACCGAUAAAAUAUUGGUUAUCGGUUAUCGAUCAUUAUUGGUUCGGUUAUCAGUUUACCCGAUAAGAUAAAACAACUAAAACAGUUUCACAAUGUAAAAAACUAUUUCGCAAUAUAUAAAACAGUUUCGGUAAAAUCAGUGUUCUUAAGAUCUUCUUUGUUAGAACGACUAGCAGUAACUCUUUGUAUAUUGAUAUCUACUUUUUUACUCUAGUACAGAAUUAUGUAUAUAGAUUAAAAAGUUUAUUAGUUAUGAAAUACAAAUUUUAUAACAAGUGACACAAGAUAACUUUGUAACAGCUCAACAAUUAAAGCACACGACAAAUCUCACUUCAGCUUUCAAAUAAACUAAGAAAAAUUCAGAGCCAGAAUGCUUUCAAACAAACUAAGAAAAAAAAUGAAGAUGAAGCAACUAAAAACUUACACGAAGAAUCAAGAUGAAGCUGAAGAAUGCGACUGGGAAAUGCGAACUGAAGAGUGAAGUGAAGAUGCGACUGAAGAAUCUGAUGGAUCUGAGAAAUGAAGUGAAGAUGCGACUGAAGAGUGAAAGAAAGAAGCUGAGAAAUGCGACUGGCGCCGACCUUAGUCUUGACGGGCUGACUAGUGAGGGCGUGAGGCGGAGAAACUAAGAAAG